CCGGGUUUCACACUGGCAAGGCAGGAGGCUGUGUGCUGCCAGAACGACCAGCAGGGGGCGCAAAGGCCACGCCAGGCACCUGCUGGCCUCAGAGAAAACAGAAAGGGAACCAGGAAGCCCACUCCUGCUGUCCUUUCUCUGCAAGGAAAUGUGCCAGGGCACUGCAGCCCAGACAGUCGGCAGUAGAGGACCCAUGAAGUAUCUUUGUGCAAAGAAAGCAGCAAAGAGAAUUAAGAGAAUUGCAUCAUAUAAAGAGUGAAUUAAACCAUCUAAAGGAGCAAAAAUUCAUCAUCACAUGGACAAGAAAUUAAGACCAGCUGGAAACCUAGGAGCAGAAGCCCAGCAUAAAGAUCUCUGAAAGCCUGGAUGCGUGGAUUCCUCUCUUACUUCCCAAAACGGUGGGGUGGAAAUGUGAAUAUCAGCAUGAUGCACAGAUCUCUGCAGAUGUCCAGCGAACUGAAUUUCUAGACGCUAUAAUCUAUGUUCUUUCCCAACCCCCACUUCAGUUUACAUAUCGCAGGCCAUAGAUCCUGUUUGUUGAAAAGCGAUCAGCUAGAAAACAAGAGUGGUUAUAACCUGUGCUGCCCAGUGAUCAGGAAAAGAGAGCGGAUGAAACUUCCAUGACUUUCUGUUAGUCUGAUUAAUAUCCAUGCCAAAUGUAAGAUUAGUUAAAAGGCCUUAUUGCUUCCCACCAAAAUGUUCCUUCACUAGCUAUAUACUACACUGAAAUGUAAAGUUAUGGGUAUGUUUAACAGUUUAAUUUGUCAGUGGGCAUCCAACUCUUCUAUUUGUGUUUUUACUUUGAGCUUAAUUGGAGCAGACAAAUAGAGGUGACCUCUAACUGUUUUCUUCCUGAAGCCAUUUUCAGGGCAGAAGUGCUUUACCCACUUCAUUGAGAAACCACCUUUGCAUGCAGUACCCUGAGCUGUCUUCAGCACACCAAGCAUCCACAACAUGGGAAAUACCGUGCUUUAAAUGUUGCUUUAAUCACAGUGCUCAUGAGUAAGGGCAUGUCCUGUCUCUUAUCCAUGAAAACACUCCCACAAAAUGAAGUCACACCCAGUAUCUGUUAACGGAGAUACUGAGUGGGUGAAGAAGACUCAUUCCCUAAUGCAAUUCAGGUCACACAGGGUAAAAAAGAAAAAAAAAUCCUUUUCUGUUGAGGAUACAGAUGGAGAGAAAAUGGAAAAUGCCUUUCAGGAAGCACAAGCCUAGUUUUCUAAUUGUGUUUCAGUGAACACGCAGGUGAACUUACCUGUGUGGCUUGGUAUUGUGGUGGGUUUUCAGCUUCUUCUCCACCAAAUCCUUUGAAAAGCAGCAGUGGCAGAAACAAAUAACCCAAUUAAAAACAAUAAUAGCAACAAUAAAAAAAGAAAAGAUGAAGAAAGCAGUGGUUUUCUUUGGCUAGCUGAGGAACUUUCUACUAGGCGUUAGCAAUCUCUUUGUAAACUUUUUUCUUUACAGCAAAUGCUUCAUUCUCUAGACACAUGUCAAGAAUUUUCAAGCAUCGCCAGACUCAAUUCUUCACCCCCAUGUUAACAAUUAAAGAAUCAGCCGAAUGCCUGUGUUUAAGAAUCAAGCCCCUGAAACCUGUGAUUUGUACGUUACUCACACCCUCUAGUCCUAUUAGCAAGAGAUGCUGGGAGAACUUCUUGGUCAUCAAUUUGAUGAGUUCCAAGGGGAAUGUGGGUUUUGGUUGUGAUGUUCAUACACAUAGAAAUCUGGCUGAACACACGUACCUAAG
rnacentral:lncRNA from 1 species